rnacentral:rRNA from 1 species
AACGAACGCUGGCGACAUGCCUAACACAUGCAAGUCGAACGAGACCUUCGGGUCUAGUGGCGCACGGGUGCGUAACGCGUGGGAACCUGCCCUUAGGUUCGGAAUAACUCCCCGAAAGGGGUGCUAAUACCGGAUAAUGUCUUCGGACCAAAGAUUUAUCGCCUUUGGCUGGGCCCGCGUUGGAUUAGCUAGUUGGUAGGGUAAAAGCCUACCAAGGCGACGAUCCAUAGCUGGUCUGAGAGGAUGAUCAGCCACACUGGGACUGAGACACGGCCCAGACUCCUACGGGAGGCAGCAGUGGGGAAUAUUGGACAAUGGGCGAAAGCCUGAUCAAGCAAUGCCGCGUGAGUGAUGAAGGCCUUAGGGUUGUAAAGCUCUUUUACCCGGGAUGAUAAUGACAGUACCGAGAGAAUAAGCUCCGGCUAACUCCGUG